AGGGCACCACCAGGAGUGGAGCCUGCGGCUUAAUUUGACUCAACACGGGAAAACUCACCCGGCCCGGACACUGAGAGGAUUGACAGAUUGAGAGCUCUUUCUUGAUUCAGUGGGUGGUGGUGCAUGGCCGUUCUUAGUUGGUGGAGCGAUUUGUCUGGUUAAUUCCGAUAACGAACGAGACUCUAGCCUACUAAAUAGGCUUGCAAUUGACACUGCAGUACUCUCCCACGGUAGGCCCAUAGGCCUAUUGGAUAUCCUGCUUGUUUGAGGGUUUCGGCUCUCGGCGAGUAGGCUCUACCUGUAGGUACCUAUGGGAUUCUCCGUGGAAUGGGAUGCUGUAGCAUUGCAAGGACUUCUUAGAGGGACAGGCAGCGCUCGCAGCUGCACGAAACAGAGCAAUAACAGGUCUGUGAUGCCCUUAGAUGUCCGGGGCCGCACGCGCGCUACACUGAAGUGGCCAUCGUGCAUUAUGGAACCUGCUCCGAGAGGAGUGGGUAAACCGCCUCAACCCUCUUCGUG
rnacentral:rRNA from 1 species